ACACGGCCGUGGCGCGAUAACGUCGCGAAACUCGCCUUAGUUCGUACAAUACAAACAGCCCAUGUCCACCUAGUCCGCUUCUGGAGCAGUUUCCCUUAUUCGUCCGCGUCGAUGUUCCAUCGUCCGUUGUCUUUCCGUUUUUCCCAUUAGAUUUAACGCGGCCUGUUAUUCCCGGUGCCGUCACGCGAUAAACGCUACGUGCGAUCGUACAUGAGUGUGUGGGAAUUCGUGUGCGCAAAUGUGCAUGUGCGAGCGUAUGUGCCGUGGCGUCGAUAUGAAGGCUGGUCUUUGUGAAGUUUUCAACGGCGAUUACGUGCCCGGUAAUUUCGUCGCAAGCUCGACGAAUCCGAUCGUGAAUCGAUAAGCUCGAUGUCGACGUUGGUCAUUUCGCGUGCACUGAUUAACGGACCCAAAAGACCAGUAGGUACCUCCCGAUGAAUGUACGACCAAUUCAUCUCGCAACGACAUAAUGCCACAUUAAUGCCACGUUGCGCUGGUGACACGCUCCCGAGUUCUUUGCCUGGUUGCGAUUUACAUGGGUGAUUUCGAACAAUCGAUCGACACAGGAAUCGUUUUGAGUGUCUCAUAGAAGUGAUAUUCAAGUAUUGUUCGUAAUUUGCGCCACGGAGUUUUUGACGGAGUUCUCUGGGUGGGCACGCGAAUACGCGUGUACAUAUUGCGUAUAUUCUGUGUGUGACGCAAACGUCAGCACAGAUAUGGUCGACGUCACCUGUUGCUGGCAAUUAACAAAUGCCUUGUGUUCUGAUGACGGCUUUUAUGAAAAGCAAGCCAGAUCUUUAGAACGAGCGCUACAUUGAGUCUACUAUUGUCCUGACUUGUGUUCCAUGUUUCUGCUGUCAUUUUGUUUGCAACCGGCUGUGUUACGAUACGAGAGCUCCAUGGAAAACUCAACAACCACGUCGCCUGUCACAUAGAACAUAGACAACGACGGGACGGAUAGCGACUCGUUUGCAUUCUACGAUAUCGUAUUGAGUGUCCGACCGUUGCUGUUCGUUUGUUCGUUCGUCUUAUCAACCGCGUUUGACAAAAGCCUUAUCGUCCUUCAGCUAAAAGUGAGUGCGCAUUUCGAAUUUGUGAUUCUUCUCAUCGCGAUUUCUUCGUUCGCGGGUUUCGAGUCUGUGAUCGCGUGUGCAGUGUAUCCAGUGCAUCGGACUGCGCGGCGUGGCACGUAGCUGCUGGAUUCGGACCAAGGCUUCGUCGUUCCCAUCGUCGCCCCGCAGCGCUAAGUGACUUGUUCGAGGGAAAAGAUGGAGAAGCGGUCGACGCUCGCUGCUCGGAGGACAUCGAUCCUUCAUCGCGCGAGACGAGCGUUGAAUUUCUUCCGCUAUGGAAAGUACACCGCCGGCAGAUUGGAUGCGACGUCGUUCUGCUUUUCUUUUGCCGACAGCGCCGCUGUAUGUACUUACUUAACUCGGUCAUUGUCUUCUAAAAAAUAUGAUUGAUCGCGAGCCACCCCCACAACGGGACGGAGCCGGUUAGAUACACAUACUGAGACCAUGAGGUUUGCGCACCCUCUCUGCACGUGUGACUACACACGUGCGUCCGAGUACACAUACGGAUAUGCAUUUGUGGGGAAAAA